rnacentral:rRNA from 1 species
UACGGAGGGUGCGAGCGUUGUCCGGAAUCAUUGGGCGUAAGGGCGCGUAGGUGGCUUCUCAAGCGUGCGGUGAAAGCCUGGGGCUCAACCCCGGGUCGGCCGUGCGAACUGGGGGGCUUGAGCACUGUAGAGGCAGGCGGGAAUUCCGGGUGUGAGCGGUGGAAGUGCGUAGAGAUCCGGAAGAACACCGGUGGCGAAGGCGGCCUGCUGGGCAGUUUAGCUGACACUGAGGCGCGACAGCGUGGGGAGCAACAGG